rnacentral:tRNA from 1 species
ACGUUGGUGGUGAAACGGUUAUCAUCCUUGCCUUCCACUCAAUGAGUCACGUGAGCAAGGGGCGGGGGUUCGACUCCCUCCCAACGUA